CCACGCUCCCUUCGUCGCUCGUCGCCCUCUGGACUCCAUUUCCCACAAGGCGAGUCACCUGUGCCGGCUCCUGGUAUGCAGCGGGCAGGGCCCCCGCCGAGGUCCGGUCCCGAGCCGAGCGCGGGCCGUCGGCGGAAGUGAGAGCCGGAAGUGCCUUGGGCGUGUGCGGAGGCUGGCGGCUGGCGGCGCUGCCCGCCUGUGACGGGGGCCCGCGGCCGAGAAGUGAAGGGUGUAUUGCAUGCGAAGCACCACCUGUGUGGGCAGAUGAGACCUCCUGUGUGUGAGGACCCCAGCACAGCCCUUGCCUGUGUCUGCAGUGUGACCUCAGACACAGAGCAUGAGCGGGGAAGGAGCAGAGAGAGGGAGACACAGAAUC